rnacentral:misc_RNA from 1 species
UCCAAAAAUGGAACACCCUAACAUUACAUUAGAAUGGCAAAACUACCUCGACCCUGUAGAAUCUACCUUAAUAAUCAGCACCUAACUAGUUAUAACGAUAAGGGAUCGGAGUUAAUGAAUUU